UACGUAGGGUGCGAGCGUUGUCCGGAAUUAUUGGGCGUAAAGGGCUCGUAGGCGGUUUGUCGCGUCGGGAGUGAAAACUCAGGGCUUAACCCUGAGCCUGCUUCCGAUACGGGCAGACUAGAGGUAUGCAGGGGAGAACGGAAUUCCUGGUGUAGCGGUGAAAUGCGCAGAUAUCAGGAAGAACACCCGUGGCUAAGGCGGCUCUCGUAGUACGGUACUGACGCUGAGACGCGAAAGCGUGGGGAGCGAACAGG
rnacentral:rRNA from 1 species